GCACUCUAAGUUGACUGCCGGUGACAAACCGGAGGAAGGUGGGGAUGACGUCAAAUCAUCAUGCCCCUUAUGAUUUGGGCUACACACGUGCUACAAUGGACAAUACAAAGGGCAGCGAAACCGCGAGGUCAAGCAAAUCCCAUAAAGUUGUUCUCAGUUCGGAUUGUAGUCUGCAACUCGACUACAUGAAGCUGGAAUCGCUAGUAAUCGUAGAUCAGCAUGCUACGGUGAAUACGUUCCCGGGUCUUGUACACACCGCCCGUCACACCACGAGAGUUUGUAACACCCGAAGCCGGUGGAGUAACCUUUUAGGAGCUAGCCGUCGAAGGUGGGACAAAUGAUUGGGGUGAAGUCGUAACAAGGUAGCCGUAUCGGAAGGUGCGGCUGGAUCACCUCCUUU
rnacentral:rRNA from 1 species